rnacentral:rRNA from 1 species
CCUACGGGAGGCAGCAGUGAGGAAUAUUGGUCAAUGGACGAGAGUCUGAACCAGCCAAGUAGCGUGAAGGAUGACUGCCCUAUGGGUUGUAAACUUCUUUUAUAUGGGAAUAAAGUGUUCCACGUGUGGGAUUUUGUAUGUACCAUAUGAAUAAGGAUCGGCUAACUCCGUGCCAGCAGCCGCGGUAAUACGGAGGGUCCGAGCGUUAUCCGGAUUUAUUGGGUGUAAAGGGAGCGUAGGUGGAUUGUUAAGUCAGUUGUGAAAGUUUGCGGCUCAACCGUAAAAUUGCAGUUGAAACUGGCAGUCUGGAGUACAGGAGAGGUGGGCGGAAUUCGUGGUGUAGCGGUGAAAUGCUUAGAUAUCACGAAGAACUCCGAUUGCGAAGGCAGCUCACUGGACUGCAACUGACACUGAGGCUCGAAAGUGUGGGUAUCAAACAGGAUUAGAUACCCUUGUAGUC